AGGCGAUGAUGACAGAAAUCAAUUUCUCGAUGCUGAUAUCAGUGUCACUUACAGUCUUUCUAACUUGAUGACCUAUUUGUGCGUGUCUGAGCCUU
rfam:Ipomoea nil DNA, scaffold: scaffold3231, cultivar: Tokyo-kokei standard.